AUUGAACGCUGGCGGCAUGCCUUACACAUGCAAGUCGAACGGUAACGGGUCCUUCGGGAUGCCGACGAGUGGCGAACGGGUGAGUAAUAUAUCGGAACGUGCCCAGUAGUGGGGGAUAACUGCUCGAAAGAGCAGCUAAUACCGCAUACGACCUGAGGUGGAAAGGGGGGGAUCGCAAGAACUUUCGCUAUUGGAGCGGCCGAUAUCAGAUUAGCUAGUUGGUGGGGUAAAGGCCUACCAAGGCAACGAUCUGUAGUUGGUCUGAGAGGACGACCAGCCACACUGGGACUGAGACACGGCCCAGACUCCUACGGGAGGCAGCAGUGGGGAAUUUUGGACAAUGGGCGCAAGCCUGAUCCAGCAAUGCCGCGUGCAGGAAGAAGGCCUUCGGGUUGUAAACUGCUUUUGUCAGGGAAGAAAUCUUCUGGGCUAAUACCCCGGGAGGAUGACGGUACCUGAAGAAUAAGCACUGGCUAACUACGUGCCAGCCGCCGCAGUAA
rnacentral:rRNA from 1 species